rnacentral:rRNA from 1 species
GUAGGGUGCGAGCGUUAAUCGGAAUUACUGGGCGUAAAGCGUGCGCAGGCGGCUUUGCAAGACAGAUGUGAAAUCCCCGGGCUCAACCUGGGAACUGCAUUUGUGACUGCAAGGCUAGAGUACGGCAGAGGGGGAUGGAAUUCCGCGUGUAGCAGUGAAAUGCGUAGAUAUGCGGAGGAACACCGAUGGCGAAGGCAAUCCCCUGGGCCUGUACUGACGCUCAUGCACGAAAGCGCGGGGAGCAAACAGGAUUAGAUACCCUGGUAGUCCCACGCCCCUAAACGAUGUCAACUGGUUGUUGGACGGCUUGCUGUUCAGUAACGAAGCUAAACGCGUGAAGUUGACCGCCUGGGGAAGUCGGCCGCAAGGUUG